ensembl:lncRNA
CACACACACACACACACACACACACACACACACACAAAACACUUCCUUUUCAGCAAAGCGGGGUACUCCUUGGGUAAGUUUUAUGCUGCAGACAGAGAAAAAAGAGGAAGUUGGCAUGGACCAUUCUCUGCUCUCCCCCUGGCCCAGCCCCAUCGCUGACCUUCCCCAGGGGAGCCCUGCUCUGUGAUCCCCAUGCGCGUCAAGACCAGGUGCUGGGAGUGCAGGUCCAAAGAGUGCACCAGUGCUGUUUUCAAGAGCUGACACUCUAAUGGGGAGACAACGAGGACACUCGGGUUGGAAAGGUGUACAGUGGGGUCCUGCUCCCAGGAGCAUCUGAAGUGUGAUCAGACCAGAAGGAUCUGUCCCUUCCCGAAUUAACCACAACUACCAGGAGACAGGUGGUGGCCCUGCUGCUGGCCUUUGGGUCAAGCUCCCAAGGACCCUCACUUGAGCCCCAGGCCCUCAGGAUGUCCUCGAAGCUGCUUGAAUCAAUCAGACUCUCCGGUGUUCCUUCCCCCCUCCCCUCCUCGCCUCCUGACUUUGUCCUGGGUCCAGGACCUGUCUGCAAUCUUUGGGACUCGAUGACCAUUCUCAUCACUGGUGAGUCAUUGAGCUGUCUCUGGUGCAACCAGGAAGGCCUGCUCUCAUUUUCUCCAGAGAAAUAUGAUUUGGUUGGAGGCCAGCUGCUCUGGAUAAGGAUGUUUUUCUCAGAACUUGACUCUCAACUUUCCCAGGGCCUUGCAGAACUGGUGGGCUACAUUCCAGGCCCAAGGCUCUGUCCACUAGGGCACCACCUACUUGCCCUAACUAGCCCCUGCCCAAAUCCCAGCCUAGAACCGACGGGGAGGCGAAGCCCGGGGAGCUGUGGACAAAGUACUAGGAGGUAGCCUCGGCUGAGCGUGCUGAAGUCGCGUCAGAAACACACUAGCGCGUCCUUGCACCUGGUCAGGACCUUGUGUCUGCACAGAGCAGACGGUGCUCCCCACGGCUGCACUCGAAGAGCACAAAACAGUCUUUUGCAUUUCAGCAUUUAGUCCAGCACCUGGCAUACAAUUGCCACUUAAACGUUUGCUGAUCGAUUGAUAGAAGCAUUCCUGUUGCCAGAGACCCCCGGACCAGCCGAGCGUUUACUACACACCUACACCGCUGGCCACUCUGGGAGAACCACAGUCUCAGCGUGCUUGGAAAAGCGAGUUCCACUGAGGGCUGGUCUUUCCCCAGCCAGGAGAACGGAGUGUGAGGGGAUGAGGAAGGGCCUGCCUGGUGUCCCCAGUCAAUCAGCACCUCCUCCCUUUAGGUUAACAGUCUCCAUCGACGGUCUAAUGAUGGAAAGCGCUCAGCAGAUGUAAGAAAGAGAUCCUGGGGGUGGUUUUCCAGAGCAUAAGAGCUGUCUCGUGAGGCUCUACUGGGGUCUGGAAGCGCCCUGAGCUCCCAGACUGGAACACUGGAUUGUAAGCUCUGUCCUGCCACGAUGGAAAAGCUUUGGGCAGAGGUCCAGUGAUUGUCCUGUUGUUGAGGAGGGUCUGGGAACCAGCCAAGUUGAGGGCAGGGGGGAUGAAUUCUUCCACCACAACAAUCUCAUCGAGAGUCUGUUAAGUUGUAAAGGGGUGGCAAUCUGCAGCAGUCCACCCACACCUGGGAAGUACGUUAGGGAUGUUGAAGCGUUGAAGUGUCAGUGUGGAUGAGGUGGUUCCAGGUCCAGGAAGGGAAGAAGCAUGAAUGGAGCACCUACGAUGGGCCAGGGGCUAUGCUAAGCAUCUCACAGAUAUCUCCUUUGGUAGGAACAUGAGCAUCUUGGAAGCUGGAGGAGCAGGGACAGGAGGCAGGUGGACAGCAGAGACAAAGAUCUUCCCCACAGCCCUGGCUAGGCCCGGCUCAGGUGGUGGC